UAUGGACAAACUCCAAAAACACAGUGCUCUACAGCAAUUGCUAGUGCAACAUUCCGUUCUGAUCACACCAUAGACACUUCAUUUUAGACAUCGUAAUGAAAAAGAGGUCUUUCCAGCACCAAAAUGGCUCAGUGAAAGACCCUCACUCCUUGACAUAGGGAGCCAUCUAUGGUGAGAGCGGGGACUAAUUGCCUGUGCAGAGCGUAUGGGGUGACGAGAGGGACUAAUUGCCUGUGAGGCAGAGGGGGGACUAAUUGCUUGUGAGCAGAGGGGGGACUAAUUUGCCUGUGAGCAGAGAGGGGACUAAUUGCCUAUAAGCAGAGGAGGGGACUAACUAAUUGCCUUAAGCAGAGAGGGGCGCAGCUACUAAUUGCCUAUAGAGCGAGGGCACUAAUUACCUGUGAGCAAAAAGCCGUACAAACUUCUUCAACUCCUCAAAAACAACAUAAAAGCUUUAAACGGAAUAAAACCACAAAUGCCUUCUCUCAAAUACGUUCUUUAGAGUUGGCAAAGUGAAAAAUCAGAAAGAAAAAAAAAAAAAAAAGUUUUGUUUUUUAAGGAAAAAACCUGUCACUGUCUAAUAUUGACUAAAACAUUUCACAUCCAUCUAGUACAUCACUGAUAAUACUCGUUAAACAUAAAAAGGUUAUGUUACAAUAAAAAAAUAAAAGAAAUGACAAAUUGGACACAUCCUCACAAAAAGAACCACAGUACUGCAACACUUGAAUGCAACCAUUUCAGUUUUAGCACAAGGAACUUAAGUACCACCCUCCUGAUUGACCAGGGCCUGCUCGCGGGGCAAAUCGACCGGGCCUUGUCAGCGUGACAUUGACCAGGGCCUUGCUCAGCGGUGUGCAAACAUUCGACCAGGGGCCUUGCUCAGCGGGUGUGCAAACAUUUGACCAGGGCCUUGCUCAGCGGGGGCGCGUGCAACAUUUUGACCGGCCUUGCUCAGCGGGGUGCAAACAUUUCGGCCAGGGCCCUUGCUCAGGGGGUUGCAACAUCCGACCAGGCCUUGCCUAGCGGGGUGCAACAUUCGACCCGGCUUGCUCAGCGGGGGUGCAAACAUUCGGCCAGGGCCUUUCUCAGCGGGGGCAGACAAUUUGACCAGGGCCUUGCUCAGCGGGGUGCUGCAAACAUUUGACCAGGGCCUUGCUCAGCGGGGUGCAACAUUCGACCAGGGCCUUGCUCAGCGGAAACACACACAGAACAGAGACUGUGUCACGAUCAUUAGGGAACAAGAGGAAGAGAAGAAGACCACAUUUCAGAACGUAUCAACCUUUUGAGCUGGGACCCAAGUCUGACACCACCAGGGACACAUUACUAUCUGAACUCCAACGAAAUAAACAGAACGGAAAUCACUUCCUCUCAAUAAAGUUGUUUUUUUUUUGUGUGUUUUUCUCUUUUUUACAAAAAUCACCGGUACACAUCUUUCAUUUUUCUCUCUAAAUAAAAUCUAAACAAGCCUGUGUAAUGCAAUUGGGUGGGGGGGGGGGGUUGUGGGGGGGGCUUAGGUUGAGUCAAGCUUGGCCAUCUCCUGCCACAUAGAUCCCUAUGCUCUCGCUGUCGACAGCACGAAGUAGACCGUCUGAUGGAAGAAGAAACAUGGUGGCACACAAAGUAGCUGAGAUGGCUUUUAGAAUGAGCUGGGCAGCCGUCUGCUUCGGGAAGCAUUCUGAGGAAACAAUAAUAAUGAUACAAUUUAAUUCACUUUUAUAGCGCUUUUUCAUUACGUUCAAAAGAAUAUCAAAGCACUUUAAAAAAAUCGCGGGGGGGGGGGGGGUAGGGGGGGAGACAAGCCAUUUUGAAAGAUCAGGAUUUAAAAAAGAAGGUGAAAUAACUGAUUUGACGAACAGUAAUACAGUGUCUUUUAUACUGAUAACAAGUU
ensembl:lncRNA